rnacentral:rRNA from 1 species
UACAGAGGGUGCAAGCGUUGUUCGGAGUUACUGGGCGUAAAGGGUGUGUAGGCGGUUGUUUAAGUUUGGUGUGAAAUCUCCCGGCUCAACUGGGAGGGUGCGCCGAAUACUGAAUGACUUGGAGUGCGGGAGAGGAAAGUGGAAUUCCUGGUGUAGCGGUGAAGUGCGUAGAUAUCAGGAGGAACACCGGUGGUGUAGACGGCUUUCUGGACCGUAACUGACGCUGAGACACGAAAGCGUGGGUAGCAAACAGG